ACUCUUCUCUCAGCUGGGUGGACAGAGCUUUCGUUACCUGAAACAUUUCUUACGUCAGUCCCUAAAGCCUUGGGGAGGGUCAAAGACGAUUCUUACAAACCGUGACAACUGCCUUCAUCGCAGCUCUGCAGAUUCCCUUCUCAUCUGAUUCUCAUCUGUCCCAACAGACAACAUCUCCCUCCCCCUCCAGAGAUCAUGUUUGGUAAGAAGGAUCCAGGAGGUACUUCAGCUGGUUUUACAAGGGGCAUGAAACCCUGUAGCUCAGAGCAGGGACAAAAAACAGGGUGAGAGGCAGGUGCUGCUGGAACCGAGCCUCCCUGCACAGGUGCCACAAGCAACAGCCACUCAGCCAUCCAGCCUGGAGCAUGCCGCAGUCAGGAGGCAUGAUGGUGAAGAAGAACUGCAGACCAGAGGCUGCAGCCUGCAGCUCGCACCGACUUGGGAAGCCAGACUGAGGAAAAUUCCCAGCCCCUGCAAGAGAACUGCAUUUGAGACUUGCCUUUAACCCAGGGACCUUCCCUCAGGACAACAGCAGCCGAACUCUCAUCGCAGCUGAACUUGGCAAGCACACGAAGGAAAAGACAAAGCUCUGUGCGUUCCUUCCAGAACACGGAGGUUGUUAGGGGCUUAGACACAACAAACACAAGAUUAAUGACUUUGGAAAGUAGGCUUUUUAUGCGUUUUUUCAAUUGCAAUUCUAAGAAUAUCCAUCAGCGACUCAAACAAGGUACUUCACACAGUAAAUGAGAACUCUUUAUUUAAAUUAACUUUCUUGGUUUCUAUUUAGGACAGUAGAAAGGCCCAGCUUUUCACCUCUUCAGAAUGGUGAAGGAAAAACCUCUUGAGCUGGCCAACACAAUUUAAAGAGCAGUCGAUUGUAAUUUUUACCGAAGUCACAAAAUGAUGUAACUACUCUGCAUAUAAUUUUGUUUAUAUAAUUUAGUAUAUAAUGCACUGUUCAACUCUGCCAUAUACUUUGAAAAAUAUACAAACCUGCUUUAACCACAUUAGAGAUAUUUGAUAGACAGCUGUCAAUUACUUAACAGUUUAGGACAGUAUCAGACACUCCUAUAACUUCAUUUUAAAC